rnacentral:rRNA from 1 species
AUGCACUAUGGUUUAUUUAGCCAAAACUACUUGUAUAUAUAUUUUGCUGUUUGCCUAGGUAGUCAGCGUUUACAGGAUGGAGUUUCAGGGAAAUUGGACACCAUUUUAGUCCCAAUCCCCUCCCUACUUGGUGUCGCCAAUGGAUGGGCAUUAUUUGUGGCAAUUUUGGCGAGCUCUUCUCCUGUUUGGUUAGCGAGGAUUCAAUGGAUGAGAAAGCAAGUUAUGAUCAAUAGUCAAGAUGUCCUCAGUUCAAUCCUGAUUCACACCCCUUCUCUUUUAGUAAAAAGCACAGAAUGUACAUCUAGUUGUCCUUUUUUAGAACAUUCAUUUGAUUAUCUUUAG